UACAUGCAAGUCGAGCGAACAGAUAAGGAGCUUGCUCCUUUGACGUUAGCGGCGGACGGGUGAGUAACACGUGGGUAACCUACCUAUAAGACUGGGAUAACUUCGGGAAACCGGAGCUAAUACCGGAUAACAUUUGGAACCGCAUGGUUCUAAAGUGAAAGAUGGUUUUGCUAUCACUUAUAGAUGGACCCGCGCCGUAUUAGCUAGUUGGUAAGGUAACGGCUUACCAAGGCGACGAUACGUAGCCGACCUGAGAGGGUGAUCGGCCACACUGGAACUGAGACACGGUCCAGACUCCUACGGGAGGCAGCAGUAGGGAAUCUUCCGCAAUGGGCGAAAGCCUGACGGAGCAACGCCGCGUGAGUGAUGAAGGGUUUCGGCUCGUAAAACUCUGUUAUUAGGGAAGAACAAACGUGUAAGUAACUGUGCACGUCUUGACGGUACCUAAUCAGAAAGCCACGGCUAACUACGUGCCAGCAGCCGCGGUAAUACGUAGGUGGCAAGCGUUAUCCGGAAUUAUUGGGCGUAAAGCGCGCGUAGGCGGUUUCUUAAGUCUGAUGUGAAAGCCCACGGCUCAACCGUGGAGGGUCAUUGGAAACUGGGAAACUUGAGUGCAGAAGAGGAAAGUGGAAUUCCAUGUGUAGCGGUGAAAUGCGCAGAGAUAUGGAGGAACACCAGUGGCGAAGGCGACUUUCUGGUCUGUAACUGACGCUGAUGUGCGAAAGCGUGGGGAUCAAACAGGAUUAGAUACCCUGGUAGUCCACGCCGUAAACGAUGAGUGCUAAGUGUUAGGGGGUUUCCGCCCCUUAGUGCUGCAGCUAACGCAUAAGCACUCCGCUGGAUGACCA
rnacentral:rRNA from 1 species